CCAGCGUGUUUAGUUUAAUGCCGGGCAACAGGACAGCUUUGGUCUCCUGAGGGAGGUUCAAGUUUAUGCCCUGGAGAUUAGAACCCCAUCAUAAAUCCAUACCAGUUAUAACCUUCCUCGUGCUUGCAUAAGACUUAACCAUUAUUACUAAAUUUGCCGAUUUAACAAGAUCAAAAUGGUCAUUCUGAGCAUAUCACACCUUCCACAUAGGCAAUGGAAAAAAGGUUCGUAUCUGAUUCUUACAACCAGAUGUAAAGAAGACUUUUCUCUUUUUUUCUGAAGCUAAUUAUGACUGACAGCCAUUUGUUAAAGUGUACUUAUGUGAACAGAGAUGAAAUAAUUUUUCUCCCUACCUGAUCCCUACAGAAUUUGGAAACUCUUACCCCAUAAACUGAAGCUAGAUGACAUGAUACAAACCUCAAAGAAAAUGUGAAGCCACAAUCAGUCGAGCCAAUCUUCUGCACACCUGCUCCUGGAUGGGCCACUCAUGAACUUUACUGGUGUACCCAAAAAUAUCACCAGGGACGUUCAAACUGCAAACCAGGAAAAUCCGUCAGAUUGCCACUGCCUGACCCCACGCCAUCUAAAGAUGCCUCGAGCCUGACAUCUAGAAAUCUCCACCGGCAGCUCCUGGGACUCAAAACUUUGUUUUUCUUUUGUUCCUAUAGAAACGUCUCUUAUUAAUUACUUGUUCGCUUGCACAAUAUAGGCCUAACUUUGGGAGUCCUGCUGCAUCACCGCUUCUUGAAAUGAGACACUGCUUCCUGAAAUGGGACUGCAGGGGAGAAGAAUUUUCGCCCUAGAAACGUGCGUCUUCGGCAUGAGGAUUACUGUGAGCUGAAGGCGAUCAAACCCCAGCAGAUUCAGGAAAGGCUCUUUUCCUGUCCCUCACAUGUCUAAAUUUACAUUAGAAAGUGUCCUGUACCGGGAAGAAAGUUACUAGCAGAGAUAGCUUUACCUAAGAACCGUGUCUGCAUAACAUAUCCUCUGGCUUCCUGUGAAUGGCCUUCCUCCUCUUUAUAUCCCCAGACCCCUAUCUGUUUCCUUGGCUAAGAGUGUUAUAUGAGCCUCAAUCACCUAUUUGCCCUUUGGCUCUCGUAUUUUUACUGGGCUCCCAUAGGUAUAAAAACGUAUUUUUCUACUGUUAA